AGAUGGCGACCGGCGCACGGGUGAGUAACACGUAUCCAACCUGCCGAUAACUCGGGGAUAGCCUUUCGAAAGAAAGAUUAAUACCCGAUAGUAUAUGAAACCGCAUGGUCUUAUUAUUAAAGAAUUUCGGUUAUCGAUGGGGAUGCGUUCCAUUAGGCAGUUGGUGAGGUAACGGCUCACCAAACCUUCGAUGGAUAGGGGUUCUGAGAGGAAGGUCCCCCACAUUGGAACUGAGACACGGUCCAA
rnacentral:rRNA from 1 species